rnacentral:rRNA from 1 species
CCUACGGGGGGCUGCAGUGAGGAAUAUUGGUCAAUGGACGGAAGUCUGAACCAGCCAUGCCGCGUGCAGGAAGACGGCUCUAUGAGUUGUAAACUGCUUUUGUACAAGGGUAAACCUGAAUACGUGUAUUCUGCUGACAGUACUGUACGAAUAAGGAUCGGCUAACUCCGUGCCAGCAGCCGCGGUAAUACGGAGGAUCCAAGCGUUAUCCGGAUUUAUUGGGUUUAAAGGGUGCGUAGGCGGAUUGAUUAGGUAGAGGGGAAAAGUCCGAGCUUAAAACGGGGACUGCCUCUAAUACUGUUGAUCUAGAGAGUAGAUGCGGUAGGCGGAAUGUAUGGUGUAGCGGUGAAAUGCUUAGAGAUCAUACAGAACACCGAUGGCGAAGGCAGCUUACCAACCUAUAUCUGACGUUGAGGCACGAAAGCGUGGGGAGCAAACAGGAUUAGAUACCCUUGUAGUC